GUGGCUUAAUUUGACUCAACGCGGGAAAUCUUACCGGGUCCGGACACACUGAGGAUUGACAGGCAAUAUAUGAUUCACUUCGGUGUUUCAUUGUUAAAUAUGCUAGUCCUUUCAUGAUUAUGUGAUAGGUGGUGCAUGGCCGUUCUUAGUUCGUGGAGUGAUCUGUCUGCUUAAUUGCGUUUCACUUAAUUUAUAGGAUCUAAUAUUUUUUAC
rnacentral:rRNA from 1 species